AACGAACGCUGGCGGCGCGUCUUACGCAUGCAAGUCGAACGGCAAGAGAGGAGCUUGCUUCUCUCCUAGAGUGGCGGACUGGUGAGGAACACGUGGGUAAUCUACCCUUAAGAUGGGGAUAGCUGCUAGAAAUAGCAGGUAAUACCGAAUACACUCGGCAUAUCACAAGAGGUGUUGAGGAAAGGAAGCUACGGCUUCGCUUGAGGAUGAGCUUGCGUCCCAUUAGCUAGUUGGUGAGGUAAAGGCCCACCAAGGCGACGAUGGGUAUCCGGCCUGAGAGGAUGAUCGGACACAUUGGGACUGAGAUACGGCCCAAACUCCUACGGGAGGCAGCAGCUAAGAAUAUUCCGCAAUGGACGGAAGUCUGACGGAGCGACGCCGCGUGGAUGAAGAAGGCUGAAAAGUUGUAAAAUCCUUUUGUUGAUGAAGAAUAAGGGUGGGAGGGAAUGCUCAUCUGAUGACGGUAAUCGACGAAUAAGCCCCGGCUAAUUACGUG
rnacentral:rRNA from 1 species